UACGGAGGGUGCUAGCGUUGUUCGGAAUCAUUGGGCGUAAAGCGCGUGUAGGCGGGUUGGCAUGUCCGUUGUGAAAUCCCUCGGCUCAACCGAGGAACUGCAGCGGAAACUGCCAGUCUUGAGUACGGGAGAGGGAAGGGGAAUUUCCAGUGGAGUGGUGAAAUACGUUGAUAUUGGAGGGAACACCGGUGGCGAAGGCGCCUUCCUGGACCGUCACUGACGCUGAGACGCGAAAGCGUGGGGAGCAAACAGG
rnacentral:rRNA from 1 species